GCAAUCUUUCGGUUACUCUACCUUUCGGUUACUAGUCCGAUGCUCUAACCAGUAGGCUACCUGCCGACCCAGGUUAGCAUUUGCGUCCCUCGCGUUUGCAACAAUGAAAAACUGUUGUUACACAUCAUCCAUGUUUUUUUGCUUAUAUUGAACUGUUUAUCAAUGAUGAAACAUAAUGCAAGUCAUUUAUAGCGCAAAAUCCAUAUUUUGUAGGCCACGGCUGCAGAUCCGAAGACCUCGGUCCCUACAGACCCCAUGUCCCUGUUCAACCUGAAGAGAGGUUCCCCCGAAGAGGAGUUCCCUACCCUAAAAUACAACUACACAUGUAUGGCGAGAAUCCUGACUCCAGAACUGUAUGCUCGCCAGUUCAACCGCGCCACCCAGAGCGGGGUCAUCUUUGAUGAUGUCAUACGUCCGGGCCUCGAGGAACCAGGGGAGCUUCAUGGACCCGUGUCUGUGGGUUGUGUAGCUGGCGACGGCCAGUCUUACAUCCUCUUCUGUGACUUCUUUGAUCGGGUCAUGGUACUGCAGCGUGGCCCUAUAAGUGUAUCUCCAUUUCACAUAAUAAAAACAACUAUUGUUAAAAAAACGUUUUAUUAUAAGGUUUCUUCAUAAUCCCAACUAUGAACUUUCAUGCUUUUAUGAAGAAGUUAACAUUUGUCACAUAUCGCUUGGACUACUCACAUGAUUUCAGUGUGCCACACUUCAUAACAGACUUCUACCAAAGAUGUGUGAUGUGACAUGUCAUACAAACUGUUGUUAGUUGUUAUGUCAAGAUCUCAGUAAUGUUUAUGAUAACUUUGUAGGGCAUUGUGGCAUAACAUUCCAAUAGUGUUACCCAGUACAUCCGUAGCAGAUUUGUAAGUUGUUCAAUGUGUUUAAAUGCAUUUAUGUCUCUCUCUCUUGUUCGCCCGCUCUCUCUCUGUGUGUGUCAAAUACGUACUGUGUGUGUAUGUUUGGCUGAUUAAUGUAAUGUGUGUGUGUGUGUUGACUUUGACCGUGAUUACGACUUGAGCUGCGAGGUGAGUUUGGUGCGCGAUGUGGAUAACUUCGGCUUCCCUACACACUGCAGCCGGGGAGAACGUAGAUAGCUCCUUAUGCUGGCCAAGAAAGGUACUGCAUGCUCUGAUCUACAGUAACAAUAUUGCACAAAUAGUACAUACAGUUCAGGUUUGGUGUCAAUUCCAAUUUGAUUUCAAAUUCCAAUUAAAUUAUUGAAU